ACCAGGCAUGCGAUAGACCGCACAGGCAGGUUAUUCCAACAGAAUAAUAAAUAACGGAACCAAGUCAUGCGUAAAUGCACAGGCAGGAUAUUCUAACAGAAUAAUAAAUAACGGAACCAGGUCAGGCAAACUUCGCACCGACAGGAUGUUCCAACAGAAUAAUAAAUAACGGAACCAGGUCAUGCGUAAACGCACAGACAUGAUGUUCCAACAGAAUAAUAAAGAAUGGAAUAACAGAAGAAUUUCACCAUGUAUGCGGUACUUCACAUAGACAGGUUAUUCCAACAUAAUGAUAAAGAAUGAAAUAACAGAAGAAUUUCACCAAGUAUAGGGUAGACCGCGUAUACAGGUUAUUCCAACAGAAUAAAAAAAUAGAAUAACAGAAGUUCUCUUAAUGAAUACGAAAGAAAUAAUACCCCUUACCUUAGUAGAAAAUUGGAUACCGCAAUAUUGUAGUAACAGAAGAUUCUUCUUCUUUCUCUCUUAUUCUCUCUAUUCUUUCUCGCUCUAAAACUUU
rnacentral:lncRNA from 1 species